GACGAACCGUGCAAACGUUAUUCGGAAUCACUGGGCUUAAAGCGUGCGUAGGCGGCUCAGAAAGUUGGGUGUGAAAUGCCUCGGCUCAACCGAGGAAUUGCGCUCAAAACUACUGAGCUUGAGGGAGUUAGAGGAGAGCGGAACUCACGGUGGAGCGGUGAAAUGCGUUGAUAUCGUGAGGAACACCGGUGGCGAAAGCGGCGCGCUGGACCUCUUCUGACGCUGAGGCGGCGAAAGCCAGGGAGCAAGCGGGAU
rnacentral:rRNA from 1 species